rnacentral:lncRNA from 1 species
GCUCCACAGCCCAUCACCCCCACAGCUUCAUGAGCAGCACUCGGUGGUUAAGGACACGGGCACCGGAGUCAGGUCGCCUCUGUCUCUAUGUGACCUUGGACAAGUCCCUCAGCCUCUCCGAGCCUCAGUUUCUGCAUCAUUAAAAUAGGGAUAAUAAUAAUACCUCCAUUAUAAGGUUUUGGGGGGUAUUUAAAGAAAGUAACAUAUAUGAAAUGCUUAGCCCGCUGCCUGGCACAUAGUGAGUAACUGUUUGGUGUCAUUAUAUUAUUGUUGUCAUUGUUAUAGCACUUUACAGUUUACAAAGAGCUUCCGUGUAUAUUACAUGUUCAUGUGAUUUUCAUAAAGGCUCUUAGAGGGGGCAAGUAAUUCCAUCGUACAAAUCAAAAUCUGUGACUCAGAGAAGUUGUGAGAGUCACAGAGCUAGUUUCUUUGGACUCCAAGCCAGAGACAAGGCUGUCUCCGAUUCACAGGGUAAUACCUUAUUUACUGUUGGUAGAGGCUCCUGUUUGGAGAGGAUUAGAGUCUGUGGCUGUAAAAGUGUUCUGCACCCACAGCUGUAUCGAGAGCAUUUGUAAGAGUCAUGAUGACAGUGGGCGCUGUCUCUUCUGAGCCAUCUCAGUGCACCGGACCGUCCUCAGCAGCCUGGCUGGUGGGAUCGCUGUGCCCUGGAGGGGUGGGGGACGUCUCCCUCUCUCCCCAAACACUCUGUCCCUGCGUCCCCAGCCACCAUUUCCUUCCAGAUUGUGAUGCAGAUAGAGAAUUAGAACUAGGGAGCAAGUUGCCUAGAGAGGGGCUUCUGGAGCACAGACUUUAAGCCGGACUUGACACUGGGAAACUCACGUCUAGAGCCCGGAGCCAGUGCUUCCCUAGGGCUGAGCCUCAGCUUCUUCCACAGCUCAGCCCUGGCGAUGAAGGGAGCCUCGGUUUGAAAACAGUGGCGUGCUUGCCUCGGAAGGCCUGGGUCUCAGUUCCAACGCACACCUGUGGCUCGAGCCUCCACGCCGGGACCGCCUGCUGCCCAGGAGCAAGUGCAAGUAAACCAGAGACAUCCCUCCAGCAUGUCACCUGCUCUGUCCUCCAGCUCUUCAGUGCUGAACGCUGGGUGUCUUUAAAGGCUGCCAUUUCUGGCGCUUGUGAGAGCAGCACUUUUCUAGAAGCUCCUAUGGGGCCUCUGCUUUCUGUAGGAACAGUGUCACAUGUGGCAAAUUACACUGCCUCUGGGAGAAAUAAAACUGUCAAACCACGCUGCAGUGGGGGCAGCGGACAGGCAAACAUACUCUUAACAGGUGUCCUGCUAGAGGGGAGAUCUCUGGAUGCAGCCUGCAUCUGGGCAGCUCAGUCCUAGCAAGGAGGUGCCCUUCACAGAAUGGGCAGUAGAAAACUUUUCUGCUCUUGACAGGUGUGGUGGUGGCGCAAGGGCUGAACGGAGCGGGUUGGCGCUGGCACAGUGGAGCCCUGAGGGCCUGCCUCCUCUCAGGAUGCUUCUCUGGGGCUGCUGCCCUAAGAAAUGACUAGUGGGGCACCCCCAUCCCCACCUCACCCUUCCCACAUAUCCACCAGCGGAUUUGAGCCUUUGCCAACUGCAAAACCAAAGAGAGCCAGGGCUGGGGCCAAGACUGUGGGCUCAGAGCCACUCUGGUGCAUGUGUCUGGCUCAUCCUUCACCUGGUCCUGUCUCUCAGAGGCCUCUGAGAAGAAGCGACAUCUGCUAGUUGCCACCAAUACAUUUCCCUUCCCCGACAGUGCUGCUAACCAG